UCCGAUAACGGCAAAUCCGUCGAAAGGCGGAGACGCAAAGCCACGGGUUUAAUGUACGGGCGUUUGCUAAAACGCCCCAACUAUGACCGCUGGGCUGCCGAAG
rnacentral:ncRNA from 1 species